UAGCUCAGUGGUAGAGCUCCCAUUCGUAGGGGGGAAGACCUGGGUUCGAUUCCCAG
rnacentral:tRNA from 1 species